AUUGAACGCUGGCGGCAUGCUUUACACAUGCAAGUCGAACGGCAGCGCGGGCUUCGGCCUGGCGGCGAGUGGCGGACGGGUGAGUAAUGCAUCGGAACGUGCCCAGUAGUGGGGGAUAGCGCGGCGAAAGGCGGAUUAAUACCGCAUACGACCUGAGGGUGAAAGCGGGGGACCGAAGGACCUCGCGCUAUUGGAUCGGCCGAUGUCGGAUUAGCUAGUUGGUGGGGUAAAGGCUUACCAAGGCGACGAUCCGUAGCUGGUCUGAGAGGAUGACCAGCCACACUGGAACUGAGACACGGCCCAGACUCCUACGGGAGGCAGCAGUGGGGAAUUUUGGACAAUGGGGGCAAGCCUGAUCCAGCCAUGCCGCGUGUGGGAAGAAGGCCUUCGGGUUGUAAACCGCUUUUGUUCGGGAAGAAAUGCAGUGAGCUAAUACCUCGGGGGGAUGACGGUACCGGAAGAAUAAGCACCGGCUAACUACGUG
rnacentral:rRNA from 1 species